UACGAAGGGUGCAACCGUUGCUCGGAAUUACUGGGCGUAAAGCGCACGUAGGCGGCUUCUUAAGUCGGUGGUGAAAUCCUGGAGCUCAACUCCAGAACUGCCUUCGAUACUGUUUGGCUUGAGACCGGAAGAGGUUAGUGGAACUGCGAGUGUAGAGGUGAAAUUCGUAGAUAUUCGCAAGAACACCAGUGGCGAAGGCGGCUGACUGGUCCGGUUCUGACGCUGAGGCGCGAAAGCGUGGGGAGCAAACAGG
rnacentral:rRNA from 1 species